GCUCCCAUCGUCCAGAGGCCUAGGACACAUGGUUCUCAUCCAUGAAACUCGGGUUCGAAUCCCGAUGGGAGCG
rnacentral:tRNA from 1 species